GGUUAAGCGACUAAGCGUACACGGUGGAUGCCCUGGCAGUCAGAGGCGAUGAAGGACGUGCUAAUCUGCGAUAAGCGUCGGUAAGGUGAUAUGAACCGUUAUAACCGGCGAUUUCCGAAUGGGGAAACCCAGUGUGAUUCGUCACACUAUCAUUAACUGAAUCCAUAGGUUAAUGAGGCGAACCGGGGGAACUGAAACAUCUAAGUACCCCGAGGAAAAGAAAUCAACCGAGAUUCCCCCAGUAGCGGCGAGCGAACGGGGAGGAGCCCAGAGCCUGAAUCAGUGUGUGUGUUAGUGGAAGCGUCUGGAAAGGCGCGCGAUACAGGGUGACAGCCCCGUACACAAAAAUGCACAUGCUGUGAGCUCGAUGAGUAGGGCGGGACACGUGGUAUCCUGUCUGAAUAUGGGGGGACCAUCCUCCAAGGCUAAAUACUCCUGACUGACCGAUAGUGAACCAGUACCGUGAGGGAAAGGCGAAAAGAACCCCGGCGAGGGGAGUGAAAAAGAACCUGAAACCGUGUACGUACAAGCAGUGGGAGCACAGAGCAAUCUGUGUGACUGCGUACCUUUUGUAUAAUGGGUCAGCGACUUAUAUUCUGUAGCAAGGUUAACCGAAUAGGGGAGCCGAAGGGAAACCGAGUCUUAACUGGGCGUUAAGUUGCAGGGUAUAGACCCGAAACCCGGUGAUCUAGCCAUGGGCAGGUUGAAGGUUGGGUAACACUAACUGGAGGACCGAACCGACUAAUGUUGAAAAAUUAGCGGAUGACUUGUGGCUGGGGGUGAAAGGCCAAUCAAACCGGGAGAUAGCUGGUUCUCCCCGAAAGCUAUUUAGGUAGCGCCUCGUGAAUUCAUCUCCGGGGGUAGAGCACUGUUUCGGCAAGGGGGUCAUCCCGACUUACCAACCCGAUGCAAACUGCGAAUACCGGAGAAUGUUAUCACGGGAGACACACGGCGGGUGCUAACGUCCGUCGUGAAGAGGGAAACAACCCAGACCGCCAGCUAAGGUCCCAAAGUCAUGGUUAAGUGGGAAACGAUGUGGGAAGGCCCAGACAGCCAGGAUGUUGGCUUAGAAGCAGCCAUCAUUUAAAGAAAGCGUAAUAGCUCACUGGUCGAGUCGGCCUGCGCGGAAGAUGUAACGGGGCUAAACCAUGCACCGAAGCUGCGGCAGCGACGCUGAUGCGUUGUUGGGUAGGGGAGCGUUCUGUAAGCCUGUGAAGGUGUGCUGUGAGGCAUGCUGGAGGUAUCAGAAGUGCGAAUGCUGACAUAAGUAACGAUAAAGCGGGUGAAAAGCCCGCUCGCCGGAAGACCAAGGGUUCCUGUCCAACGUUAAUCGGGGCAGGGUGAGUCGACCCCUAAGGCGAGGCCGAAAGGCGUAGUCGAUGGGAAACAGGUUAAUAUUCCUGUACUUGGUGUUACUGCGAAGGGGGGACGGAGAAGGCUAUGUUGGCCGGGCGACGGUUGUCCCGGUUUAAGCGUGUAGGCUGGUUUUCCAGGCAAAUCCGGAAAACUAAGGCUGAGGCGUGAUGACGAGGCACUACGGUGCUGAAGCAACAAAUGCCCUGCUUCCAGGAAAAGCCUCUAAGCAUCAGGUAACAUCAAAUCGUACCCCAAACCGACACAGGUGGUCAGGUAGAGAAUACCAAGGCGCUUGAGAGAACUCGGGUGAAGGAACUAGGCAAAAUGGUGCCGUAACUUCGGGAGAAGGCACGCUGAUAUGUAGGUGAAGUCCCUCGCGGAUGGAGCUGAAAUCAGUCGAAGAUACCAGCUGGCUGCAACUGUUUAUUAAAAACACAGCACUGUGCAAACACGAAAGUGGACGUAUACGGUGUGACGCCUGCCCGGUGCCGGAAGGUUAAUUGAUGGGGUCAGCGCAAGCGAAGCUCUUGAUCGAAGCCCCGGUAAACGGCGGCCGUAACUAUAACGGUCCUAAGGUAGCGAAAUUCCUUGUCGGGUAAGUUCCGACCUGCACGAAUGGCGUAAUGAUGGCCAGGCUGUCUCCACCCGAGACUCAGUGAAAUUGAACUCGCUGUGAAGAUGCAGUGUACCCGCGGCAAGACGGAAAGACCCCGUGAACCUUUACUAUAGCUUGACACUGAACAUUGAGCCUUGAUGUGUAGGAUAGGUGGGAGGCUUUGAAGUGUGGACGCCAGUCUGCAUGGAGCCGACCUUGAAAUACCACCCUUUAAUGUUUGAUGUUCUAACGUUGACCCGUAAUCCGGGUUGCGGACAGUGUCUGGUGGGUAGUUUGACUGGGGCGGUCUCCUCCUAAAGAGUAACGGAGGAGCACGAAGGUUGGCUAAUCCUGGUCGGACAUCAGGAGGUUAGUGCAAUGGCAUAAGCCAGCUUGACUGCGAGCGUGACGGCGCGAGCAGGUGCGAAAGCAGGUCAUAGUGAUCCGGUGGUUCUGAAUGGAAGGGCCAUCGCUCAACGGAUAAAAGGUACUCCGGGGAUAACAGGCUGAUACCGCCCAAGAGUUCAUAUCGACGGCGGUGUUUGGCACCUCGAUGUCGGCUCAUCACAUCCUGGGGCUGAAGUAGGUCCCAAGGGUAUGGCUGUUCGCCAUUUAAAGUGGUACGCGAGCUGGGUUUAGAACGUCGUGAGACAGUUCGGUCCCUAUCUGCCGUGGGCGCUGGAGAACUGAGGGGGGCUGCUCCUAGUACGAGAGGACCGGAGUGGACGCAUCACUGGUGUUCGGGUUGUCAUGCCAAUGGCACUGCCCGGUAGCUAAAUGCGGAAGAGAUAAGUGCUGAAAGCAUCUAAGCACGAAACUUGCCCCGAGAUGAGUUCUCCCUGACUCCUUGAGAGUCCUGAAGGAACGUUGAAGACGACGACGUUGAUAGGCCGG
rnacentral:rRNA from 1 species